GAGAGAGAGAGAGAGAGAAUAUUGCUAAGGCAUGCAACUAGGUUAUUAUUGGAACAAAAAGAUCACAAAGUUGUAAAAGUCAUUUUGAAUUGAGCUGGAUGGUUAUUGACUUGGACCAAAAAAUUUUAAAUGCAAAGUACCCCUACCCUAUAAGAAAAGGCUUGGAAAAAAAAAUUCCAAAUCGAGCAAAUCAAUAAAAAAAAAGUUUAUUGAUCGAAUCAAAUUGGUUUCUAAUACAAUUUUAAAAAUUUUCAGGAUUGAUCAAUGAUGAUAUGUUGCAGAUUUUUUUAUUUAAAAAAAUGGAUAGGUUCUAGAAAAAACUUAUAAUUAAAAAGAAAAGGAAAAGAUUAAGUAAGCAAAAUGUUUAAAUCAAACAACUGAUUAAGCAGGUAUCUAAUAUUUUUGGAUCCAAUACAUUUGGAUUUUAUUAAGAAAAAUUGUCUAACAGAUGCACAUCCAAUAUGUACUACACCACCCAACAGUAGAUAAACAAAGAAAUGUGUACAUAAGAAUGUGCUUUUUCCAAAUAUCAGAAAGCAAUACAAUGCUUGUGCUAGAAAGCCUUCCAUAAAGCAGUUUUCACCAUAACUGGGAAAAUUUGUUCUUUCUAGCAAGUUGGCGUUGUUCAGAAAAGCAGCAUCUUCAACAUGUUUAGAUGUCAUUAAAAAUAGUUUUUUAGGUAAAUAUGAAAUGUUUUAGUCAUAAAUACUCCAAAACAAUGUCACUUUCCAACUGCUUUUUGAAACAUCGAAAAUGAUGCUUUUUGGAGCAGAAAAAAGGUUCCCACUUCAAUGCCAAGCAUACUAUCAGUAGUGGUCAAUGACAUAAGAAGUAAUAAAACACUGGCAGCAUGACUAAACGAAGGGGGGAAAAGCAUUCAAUAAAGAACAGAGCAAGAAAGAGAAGCAUCAGUUCAAAUACAGCAAUGACCAAAUAUCCCAUGGUAAGGGGAACAAAUGUGGAUUAAGUUGAACAUGACAGAUGCAAGAAGGGCCCAAGAAAAUGGAUAGAUUGUCUGAAAGCAAAUCAGUAAAUUGAAAUAGAUCACAUCCGUUGGUUCAAAAAGCAUAAAUAAAGCACAUUUGAGUUAUAUAAGUAUAGAAUCCAGUGUCAGCAACUGUAGUAUUCUAGCAGUCAUUUUACAUGGAAGGCACUCUCAAUACACAUUGUCUAGAGUAGCUGCCACCAAUUGUAGCAGAAGUCUCAAAAGAAUGAAGCCAAACAUUGGUUAUGAAGGAUGCCUAAAGGCAAAAGGGAAAAUCUACACAGAAUAAUUUUCUGCUGCUGAUAAUGUCAGUUUCACUCAACUCAGUUGCAACCAUAGUGAUCAUUAAAGUUACCUGGGCUACAAUGGAAUUGCCUCCAUAGAUGGUGCAGGAUCUCUGGAAGGAGCAACCUUUCACCUUGAAGUCAGAGGUAGAUUCUGCUGAAUUUUCUCUUACAAGAAAGGCCUCUAUCUCACUUCUACUAAACUUGUUCAAUGUUCUUUGCACUCUGAAUAUCAUUUUCUUCUCCCCUUCUUCACCUUCCUUAAAAACAUGCCAAGAUCUAUUCUACAACCAGCGAAUACAUCGAAUUACCAUAUUCUAAAACUAGAAAAUUAAAAUCUAAUAGAAAUGGCAAGAUUUCUUGCAAUCAGAAACAAUGAAAGAUAAUUUUAAUCCACCGUUCCUCAUCUUUGAGAGUUGCUUCAUCUCCAUCCCUCAAUUUUAGUAUUUUGUUUCAAUAAAAUCACUCAACUUUAAUUUAGUUACCAAAAAGUCUCUUUGAUCAGAUUUAUCUAGUUUCCUGGUUAGCAUGCAAACCUGACAAGGGUAUUUUUCAUUUGCCAUCACUCAACUUUGGGGUUUUUUAAAUUUUGCCGCUCCAUUUUAAUCAUUUAAUUUUAAUUUGAAUUACAAAUAAUAAUAUUUUAUAUGUUAAGUUUAAGGAUUAAGAAAGACUAAUUUUUAAUGACAUGUGUGUUGAAUAUUUUUUAAAAUUUAUAAGAUAUAUACAAUAUUUAUAUUUAUCAUUCAAUUAAAAAAAUAGUGUUAAUGAAUUUAAUAAUACUUAAAUUAUAUUGUUAAUUUAGUUUAUUGCAAAGUAUAUUAUUUUUUAAACUAUUUUGUUAAUUUUUUUAUAAUUUUAAUUUUAAUUUUAUUAAUUUAUACAAAUCAAAAAUCAAAACAUGGCAAGAUAAGAAAAUAGCUUGAAAUACCACAAAAUUAUAUAUUAUACAUUCGAUAGAGCAUAUUUAUUAUCACUUGAUAUAUAGUAAACCAUAAAAAAU
rnacentral:misc_RNA from 1 species